UACAAGGUGCACUGUGCAGAGGGCAGCAUUUCUAUUGAUCUCCACAUUUUUAUUUAUUUUUUUUGGUGGGAGAACAACUGUUGGAAGUUUCUGGCAUCUUUGAGCUCGUUAAUCAUAGCUGUGAACUCAGCCCCACCCAGGCAUGAUGUAAGGCUGCCAGGUGUUUAUCGUUUAAUCCUGACCAGCUAUUGGGCUCUCCCACUGAGGUGCUCCUGUUGGCUCUGCUUUUCAGCUCUGUUACGUCACAGUGCUGGGAAGGGUUUUUGGUGUGUUCUGUUCCGCUGCGCGCCCAACUUUCCAGUGUGCUACUGAAAUACCUUCGGCAAUCCACUACCUUAGCAGCGAAUAAAGGUGAAAAGAUAACUGUAGAGGGGAGAAGAGGAAGAGAAGACAGGAAGAGGAACAGGAAGUUUGGACAACUGUUCACUCAAAUCCCUGGAGACCAGAAUGACAAUUCUGCACUUACCUUCUUUCGUUGAUUACUUUGUAUAUUUCUGCCGAAGGAAAAUUCUAUAACUUCAGAAAUGGCAGUCUUCCAGAAAUGGAAAUACAUUGAUCAACAGGAAACUUGAAGUUCAAAAUUGCAAAGGUAAGAUUUAAUGUCAAUGUAGAACUUGAACAAGAAGAUAAAAUACAUGGUAGGGUAUUUUAACAAUCAAGGCUAGAUGAUAGCAAGGAAAGAAACAGUGUGGAUGGCUAAAAGGGGAUGAGUUUGACGACAGCACAGGUGGUUUAAAAAAAAAUUUUGAUGAUUUUUUGUGCUUCACUGUUCAAUUUGGACGAUGACUCUGAACUUGAAUGGGGAAAAAUUGGCUUCACAGAAGAAUGGAAAUGACACAAAAAUCAAGGAGUUAUUUCUUGGUGUUUGUGUCAUGGUAGCUUGAAGGAACUGACGUGUGAAUCUUAAAGAGUAUUUUGGAAUAUGUUCAAGUAUCGGUGGUAUGAGAAAUUUCAGACAUGAUUCCUAUAUUUAAGACAGGAAAAACUGCAGUCUAGUUGGGUAUAGGUAUAUUAGCAUGACAUCAGUAAUAUGCAAGGCUUUUGGAAAGAAAAGUAAUAGGAAACACAGCAAAUGGCGGAAGUGGGAUAACACACAAUAUCGGUUUACCGAAAGCAGAUUUACUGGAUUAUCUUGAUAAUCUUUCUUUAGGUUAUCCUGAUCUUUUUAGACAAAUAACAUAGCAAUAGAUGUGAUGUAUAUCCACUGUGAGAGAAGCAUCUGACACAGAGCUACAUGGAGAACCAUUUGACUGGAAAAAAUGAAGAUUAUACCCAGAAUUGUAAAAUGGGUAGGAACUGGCUAAAGCAGAUAACAGAUGAUGCUGAAAGAAGAAAUACCAGGUUAGAGGGAGAUAAAAAUGGAGUUUCUGAAGUCACAUUCUGGGGACCUCUAUCCCUUAAUAUUUUCAUUAAUCAGCUAGGCACAAAAAAAUAAGAAGCUGCUUGAGAAAUGUGCUGAUGGCUUAAGCUGGGAGAGAAUUGUCAAUAGCAAGGAGGCUCAGACCAUACAAAUAACAUAUCCUCAAGGACUGGAGAAAUAUAAAUGGGAUUACAUUCAACAGGUCAAGUAGCAAGUGCAUGUAGCUGGGGACCAAUGACAGUUUCUAAUAUAAGGUAAGGCUUGUUGGACUGAUACAGGAGAAUUGGGCAUAUAUUUUGGCACUGUUUCAGAAGAAACAUUUCCAGUCAAAGUAGGACUGCAGAAGGCUUUGAUAACAACUUCCCUAGGAAUGUGGAGAACAACUUUGGCCACUAGUGUUUGAAAGGAAUUCAACCUAGGGCAGGAGCAAAGAAAAGGUGAAUCAUUUGAUGGGAGCCAUAAACAUGAUGAGGAGGAACAUUUUCAGCUUCAACAAUAUUGAUACAUAAACAACUAAGAGUAAAACCACUCAUCAGUAAUUUUACCUUGUAUUUUAGCAAAGAGUUUCUAAUGCAGAAUAUGGGUUUCUGGAAAAGCAUUUAACAGGAGCUGUGGGGAAAAUCACUCUUAGCUGUGAAAAUGGGUACAUCUGAGGGAUUCAGCAACGCAUCUUCAUGCUGUAACAGCAGACUGGGCUCUGUAGGUCAGUGGUCUCUGUUCAUUUAUUCUCAUUCUCAUUCAUUCUGUUUCCACGUUCCUACAAAAUUAUUUUAGCUUUUAACUCAAAGUCCUUUUAGAUGAAACCCGAGCACUGCUGAUCUAGAGCAGGAUGGUGACACUUCUAAAGGCUCAGUAAGUUUGGAGAUUGGGGGAGUUUUGCCUGUACCCAUCUCCUUGGUACUGAGAAGAGAGUAGCUAUCAUUUGUAGUCCAUAAAGAACUGAAAUGGGGCUGCUCGUAAAUAAGUGGUGUGUUUCCCCAAAAAUUCUGUUGACAGGUACAAUUUUAAUCCAGAAUACUUAGCUGAAAAUACUGGCUUCUCACUGACAAGCUGAACAAUUUCCCUUCCCCUGGCCAUUGCUUUUUUUCUAUGUUUCUGCUCAUAUCUCUUCCAUUUCCUUUAUUCAAUUUGUCUAGCAAGAAUGAAAUAAAAACAUGCUGACAUUUUCAAAGAAAUCAGAUACUUCCCACGAAAGUUUUGAUGGAAAAUUUUCAGAGAGCCCCGAGGCUCAGGAGCUGGUUACAGUGGGGUGUGGCCAGCUAAAUCUGCUGCCUGCAUCAGGGGGAGUAACGCCUCAGCCUCUCUCGGACCUUUCAGGUGAUUUACUUUUGGGAGGGGAACAUCUUUUACAAGGAGCCACGUGCUCUGGGUGGCAGCAACUUUGCUCUUGCAGCAGUUCUGGCUGACCUUGCUGCAAGUGGUGCAGAAGGCUGAGCCAUGCCUGCCUCCACCCUCCCCUCCCCUCCCCCUCACUGCAGAAGCACAGAACUGACCACAGCGUAGCACUAAACGUUUUAUUUUUAACUUUUGCCAGACAACACGUAUAUCCGAGGCCAAAAACAAACAAACAAAAAAAGAGCCAGAGAAUGGGGUAUAAGUGCUUGUCAAUGUCAGACUUGAUCACUGUCAAAUAGGGGCUGGAUUCUGCAGUUAUGCUGCAUACAACGCUCCUGUUUCCUUCAGUGGUGCUCCCAAACCACGGUGAUGAAUGCCUAGAGAGAUGGAUAAAGGCAGACAGACGUAGAUACAGACUGACAGAAUCAACCCCCAGAUGGAGGUUGCUUGAAUUUACCAGAAAUUAAGAUGCUGUACUGCUUAAGAAAGAGUUCCACGAUCUCAUUAAGUCUCUUCUAUGUCUCCCUUUUUAUUUUGUCCUCCACCUUCCUACAGAAAAAUACUUUGUGUCAUUUCAGAUUGAAUUAGAGGAAAAUUGCCUAUGGACUAAAUAAAAUGUUUGUAUACUUUCCUACUAGCACAGUCCUAUGCUGAAGGCUUGUGUUGGUUAAGGGAGAAGAAAAUACAGCAUGUCAUAGUAAUGUCAUGUAUUCUAACUUACUGUAGCAAAUCAGGACUUUUUCAUAUUUUCUUUUUAAAUAAAAAUGCCAUCUAUCAUUUUCAAAUGAAGUGUUAAUGGAAUCAGCCCAUACGCAAACUCAUGCAUAUAAAUCUAUAAAUAAAUAUAAUAUAUACAUAAAAAAAUCCUUACUGCAGAGAAUGAUCAAGCACCUUGUCAGCAAUCCAUAUUAUAUUUAUUAAUUUGAUUCCUGCUAAAAGAUCACUUAAGUGAGACCUGGUUUCUUUCUUUAACGCUUCAGGCUCCUUUCAUCUAAGCGGUGUUUAUUAACCUAUUUCUGGAAAUCAGCAUAAGCACAAGCUAUAUUUAAUCUGUUCUUUGCAUGUGCUUUGUUUUUCUUUUUGUUUCUGUGUUUUAUUUUUAAUUCCAGUUUAAGAAUUAGCUACCGAGCGCUGGUCAGUAUUAGAAAUAACAGUUCAAAUAGUGAGAACUGAAACACUGAGUACUAGUUUAUCAUGUAUAUUUAUGUCCUUUAGGAGGAUUCUGAUUGUAGUUAAAUUCCAGGACUAAUGAUAAUGACAGCAGGAGAAGUAUUCCCACUUCAAGAGUAAUACUGUGACCUGAUGACUGAGUGUUGGGGUACAGUUUCUCCCACUUUUACUGCUGUCCCAGUUGUUUUGAAUGGCAGAACUCUUGCCUGUAUGCCAUGGUUCCCCAUCUGAAAAGUGGACAUGAAAUACUGAGCUCUUCAGUUAACUUCAGAUCUGCAGAUUGUGUUCUAUGACUGGACUACUUUUGUGUCAAAGCUUAAAACCCCACUGACUGAGAUAUUCAGGAUUUCACUCACACGUUUCAUCAGCAGGCCAAGGGGAAGGAAGGCUGCAAUAAGGCAAACUGUUGGGUUCAGUUUGAGCUGUGUGCUGUACAUCCAGCUACAUCCUGCAGAUACCCUCCACAAUAUUACAGCUGAUAUUUUAUUAUUAUGAACUUUUGCAGCUCCGAGGAGUUUCCCCUAACAGAUGGUGGGAGGUUUUGUCUUUCUCCUAGAUCUGUGGGCAAGGACAAAACUCUUCUGGAGCUGAAUUCGCUGUUGAAUUUAACAACUCUCCAUUUGCCUUGAGUUGUGGCUACAGAUUUCUAUAGGAAUGAACCAUACUGUCUGGAGAUCCAAGGGAUUUGUACCAAGAAGGAUGACAUUUUAUGCCAAGCUGCUUCAAGAAGAAGACUGUGAGAAUGAGACAGAUAGUCCUUAUAAAAAUGAACGUGAUCUGACAGUAGAGGUGAAAUGAUACCAAAAGAAGCAGGUAAGAAAAAGGUAUUUUGCUGUUUUAGCCUGUUUAUUUACAGCACUAGGUAGCCUACAGCCAGGAGAUGACUUUGGGUCCUUUGGAGAAAGUUCCUAGGCAUUCCCUAUCAGGCACACAGGGAAAGCAAUGAGGUGACUUGUUGAAUAUUAAGAGAUUGAAUCGAUAUCAAAUUCUUUGACAGAACCCAAAGCAAAUACAAUUUGCUGGAGCCACUAAGUUCAAACAUGUUCCUGAAUAUCACUGUACCUCACAAGUGUCAUGGAGUUGUAUGCAUCGAUAAAUAGAAAGGGACUGAAUCCUGUAGGAGUUUGCACCCCUUGAAGAUUCAGAGGAGAGAUCAAAUCAAAUACGGAGGUGCUUUGCUUUGUGUGUGCCAAGGAUAAGGAAGCUAAACAAUAAUAUCCCAGCAGUUUUCAGGACGAUGCCCGUGAGCAUCACCUCGCAGCCUUGGUCCCUCGGCGCACACAGACCUUGCUGGCCCGAACUGUGCCAUUUGCUGAAGGCAAGAGCCUCACAGAGCUGCCAAGGGGACUCUGCAGGGUGGCUUUGCUGGGUACGUGUGCCCCAGGGCAGCGCUUCAGCAUGCUGAGCCUCUCAUCUGAGGGCUGAAAGGCAGCAGAGAACAUAAUCUGUUUUAAUGGAUCCUUCUGCUGCUGUUGAAUAGCUCCCUGGUUUGGAUUACUUCUGCUGCAGGCACGAUUAGUCAGCAUUUGACAGGGCAGGGGGUCUCAGCGGGGAGCCCACAGCUUGCUAAGAAUAGGAGCCAAACAUCAUUUUCUGGCUUAUUUGGGAGAAAAACCUGAAGAGUGCAGAAAGUUUGUCCCUCGUUGUUUUCCUGAGUAGGGGAGCAGUCUCAGAGGUGAUGAGACAAACACUUGAGGAUGGCUGAUAGCACUGGAGUGCAGAGUAAACAAGAAGAUGGUACUGGAUCUCAGGCCAUGGAAAAACAUCGGGAAUAAAAGCUUACUGAAAUCACGUGAAGUCAUAAAACAACUGAAAGGAUGCACAAACGGUUCUCACCCCUUUCCACCUGAAAGAACUGGGUAUGUUGAGAAAACACUUGCUCAGUGUUUGCCUUUGAAUAAUGAAAUAAAAUAUAAUGGUCAGUAAAGUUAAGCUCUUAAGAAUAAAUUGGUCCUGUUUUCACUGGAAGGCAGCCUGGAUUGCCCUGAAACAUUGAAGCCAUCUGCAGUUCCCACAUCGAUUUUCUUCUCCAUGGCACUGAACAUACAAACCCAGCAGGUGCCUUUGAGUGCUCUCUCAGCUGCAUGGAGAAAACAGAUAAAACCCUCUGGGUCUCCUGCAUGUUCAUGUGCAGCCUCACCUGUGUGACACCUGGCUGUGCCCAGCGCAGGAAUCAGCAGAAUGAGCUGGGAAGUCUGCUGAAUUGGCACAUUUGUGUGGAGGGGGAAAUGCUGCCAGGGAACUGUGACCUGCCUCUUCUCUGCAAUGCACCGGCGUGCAGCAUCCCAACAGGAGCAGCAUUGUUUUGUGCCAAGUGCCUCGGAGACAGAGGAGACUGUGCCCAGUUCGGUGGAAAUAAAAAGCAGCCUCCUAUUUUUGUUAUUUGCUGCUCUAGUGAAAACUGUGCUUCCCCUGAUCCAUCAGAAAAUACUGUUUUUACUUUUCAGGCAACCACAGUUUUGGCCUUUUCAAGUGAAAAUACCUGGUGAAGUGCCCCAGGAGGGAGGCAGCUUUCUGCACUGUGCCACUGCCCAGAUGAUGGUUGCACCAGGAGCAGCUCCCAUGCCUCCAGCUGCUGGAAAACUCCAUUCUCCAUCAAGCCAAUUGACUAAGCAGCACAUGGCAGUUCUUGCAUCCCUCCUUUCAUUAGGCACACAGAAAAGUGACAACAGCAUCAAAUAAGGUGAGGCCCCACCAUUAAUAACCAGCGAGUGUAUGUUUAGAUACCUACCAAAAAGAAGCAAAUAAAAACCUGUGAGCUAAAGAAGAGCAAAAAAGAGCAUUUGAUAUUUCUGGGCUCAUGUGAACUCUCAGGUCAGGGUGUAACCCCCAUCACAGAGCUCAGAGUCAUGGCAGUGCUCUCUCCUUGCAUUCAGCAUAGCUGCAACUGUUCGCAGUGUACAUAGCAGGGAGCAAGGCUGCACAACCUGCCUGCCCUGCCCUGUAUCUGCAUCCCCUGCAAAGACAAUACUUCUGCAAAGGGCACCGAACCCAUCCCCUGGCCCCACAAAGCAGAAGACUGGGUGUCCUCAUCACUCCUGCUAAUGCUCAGCAUGGGAAUGGCACUACUGCUGCUCUGCUGCAGCCCUGUGUCCUGCAGAAAGCCACAAAUGUCAGAGAAAGAUGAUGGAGUAUGAAUUCAAAGGUUAGUCUGUUUUUUCCCCUAAGCUGUAAAGGAGGGAAUCACUAUCUUCUGAGAUGGAUAGUACCAUUAAUCAGACACUGAAGGGAGUUCAGUCCCUUGUACAGUGCCAAAUUAUCCGGACUUUUAUCUUCACUGCCCUGUGCAGACAAAUCUGGGCAUGGGGAGGGGGGUGGGGACAGAGUUAUUAGGGGGAAAUUUUUGAAGCAUAAACAGAAUUUCAGCAAAAGGUUGUUCCUGCCAUGACAUGAUUAUAAAUGAGGUGAUCAACCACAAAGAACAUUGUUUUUCAUGGCUUUAGCUGUUCCAGUGGCACAAGUAAAAAAUUUAAAGGAAAAGGGAGGGAGUUCUUUUAAAAAUUCCAGAUAUUUUAAUUAAUGCCAAUAGCAUUAAAAUAUUAUGGCUUGAGAUGCUUAUGAAAAGUCUCUUUUAUUCAUUACAUUUCCUAGACCCAAUAUAAUUAGAAUUCUUAACAUUCAUGAUCUCUCAGCAUUGGCUUCCAAAAUUAAUGGUCUGAGUAAUUUUUUACAGCAGACGACCUGAGCUUAAAAAUAAAUGUAUUGCAGUAGUAAACAUCAGCUUUUUGUGAAGGCGGAGCACCAUUUAGCUACAGUUCCGAGGAGAAGAAUGCCCUCCAUUUUCUCUCAUCCAGAUUUCACUGUUCAAAGGACAUUUUGAAAGACUGGAAUUCCCUAUAUGUGUAGGAAAUCCCUCGGUGUCACACGUUCUUCCUGCAGGUUGCUUAUCUGUGUGUUGUGGAAGCUGAGUGGGCUGUGAUGAAUGCAGAGUCCUGGGUGAGGUGGCUGAAUGGAGUCCUGCAGACGUGGCUGCUGCCAGCUCUUGCUCCGUCAGCCUGCGACAGUCGUUUAACCCUGACGUUUUGCAUGGGGCUGCUAAAUGUGUGCUGUUCAUUUUGGUGUCUGCUUGCCAGAGCACGGAGAGCUCCUGCUGCUGGGAUGUGAACCCAGAAAAGCCACGCGGUGCUGGGGAUGGAAAGCUGCCGCUUCCCACCAGGCAUGGCAGGAUCACGCAGAUCAUCUGGCAGCCUCUGACAGUGAGCAUCGGGGUCCUGCAGCCCACUGCUGGUCCUGGACAGCCAGCAGGGCCGGUUGGUGCAAAUCACUCUACUUCCUCAUGUCUCAUCCUUUCUCCAGGUCUCUGUCUUUGCUGUGAUGGUCUCAACCCCCACCAUUAUUUCCCAAGACUCAGCCCCCUUCUCAUUCUUCAGCACUGGGCUUCCCACCUCUGCCCCACUGCCUGGCCCCACUAUCUUCACCCAGCCCAUCAGACUGUCCCUACCACUCCUUGUGGCUGCAGUUCCUCCCGGAACCUGGCCUGAGUCUCCCCUAUGCCAGCAUGGCUGAAUUAAUUUCCCUUGUGGUCUGAAAGCUGGAAUCCAAGUGGUCUUCAUGCCCACGGCACAGUGAUAGGGCCACAGGGAACAUCUUGUUCUGAUGCUCUAGCCAGGCAAUAAUACCUGGCAACCUAUAGUGUGUGAGGCUGUGCUGAGGGUAGUGCUGUGUGAGCAGCUCUGUUGGGGCUGGAAGGGACUGCCCUGUUUGGGGUGAGCUGCAGGGCAAGGCAAGUGCUGCAGGACAGGAUCUGCAGUGUUUUUUGGAUUUCCCACUGCAGAAAGUCUUUACUGAGGAAGUCGGGUUGGAUUUCUUUCAAGUGCUCUCACUUAGCCAUACUUUUACAUGGAUUUUCACAGCAGCAAUGAAAGGAACAUCCUUAAUACAAAGGUCACAAGUCGGCUAAAUUUCUGCUCCCCUAUCCAAAGCAUGAGGAGACGUGGUGCAUCUUAUAGAAGAGGAUGUCAGUUCUUUUUCUCUUUUACCAUUACAAAACAGCACAUUGUUCCCUGGCCUUGCCCUUGGGAAUAGCUAUAUUGUUUUGGCUGAAGCUUUCCAAAAAAAUUCAGCCUGAGGCAGAUGCCCAGAAUGGAAAAUGACAAGUUACUGGUCAAAAUAUGACAGUUAUAAGCAGCUGAAAGUAGGGUCUUGUAAUUGGGAAUGUCAGACGGUCUUGACAGUAGGCAGUGCUACCAGCCCACCGACCUCAGGAUUCGUGCGUAGGUGGAGCACUGUGUGUGCCUUCUUGAAGCCCUGGUAAUUUUAUAUGUGCUGUAAAAAGGGGCAGCAGACGUUGCUUUCCUGGGUGUUAAAGCAUGGCAAGCGCUGCCGCCAGCUUUGUCCUCUAUUCAGCUGGAGAC